rnacentral:rRNA from 1 species
CUGAACGCCUCUAAGUCAGAAUCCGUGCCAGAAAGCGACGACGCCUCCCGCACGUAUAGAUGGACACGAAUAGGCCUUUGGCUUAGCGUCUUAGCAGGCAAAGAACGCCAACGCUCUGGAAACGGGUGUUGGUACUUUGCGAAUUGUAAUUUCAGCACGAGCGGGGUCGAAUCCCUUGCAGACGACUUUGAUGUGCGAAAGGGUCCUGUAAGCAGUAGAGUAGCCUUGUUGUUACGAUCUGCUGAGGGUAAGCCCUACUUCGCCUCGAUUU